UGUAUGUAUUGUAUCUCCUGUUAACCGUUUUAUCUUAGUAAAUACAAAACGGAACGCUAAGUUUGGAAGGCUAAGUGACACGAAUAGAAAUCCCCUAAAACGUGAUGUUCUGGGACGUGAACCUUCUAUAUAAGAUCCGUUUUAUUUUGGCGUGGUAUUGUCCGGAAAAUGCGAUGAGAGUCACGAGCAAACAGUAAAAGUUUACUGCAUCCGCUUUCAUAACAUUGGUCGGUACAUUCGAUUCUCCGCUAUGCGGCGUUGGUUCGUUCCCUAUUCGGUGCAUGUGAGUUUGGCUAGCAGCCACCAUACCGGGCAUGUGACAAUACCAAUAUGUGUAAUAAAAAAUCAAAAGGAAGUUACGACCGCUAUGUUUCAAAAUUUGUCCACACUCGCAAUCAGUGAAACUGUAGAUAAUGGAAUAUUUAUGUGAUUUACCGGAUUCCUCACGUAAUCCAGCUUUUAUGCAGAGGGACAUCAUACAAUGCACAUUCAUUCACCGAGAGACCGGGAAUCGAGUCACAAUCGGAGAGGUGGACAGAGUGUAAGACCCAACCUUUGUACUAGCCGGAUAGGCCGCGAUUACAUUCGAAACGGGAUUUUCUUUCUGCUGACCUUAAUGCGUUACGACCGGUCGAGGAUUUUGUUCUUAUUGUAAACAGUUUACUCCGUUGCCAGCAUGUGUUCCUAUAAUAAUAUUGAUGCAUGUGGACGGCCGCCUUUGAAGUUUAAAGCAGAUGUCCUCUUAAGUCAGGCUAAGCCUUUGGCGUACGUGCUCCUUGUUUGUCUGUCUGAACGUUUGGUUUUAUAAACCGAUUUAAAUCAGGGUAUUCUAAGGGUAAUGGGUGCAUUAGUAUUCGAAAGGCAUUAGUCAGUAAGGAGUGCAAAUAAGUAUGUGAUAAUGACAAUAACACAGUGAUAGCAAUAAUUAUAUAUAUAUAUAUUGUAGGAUUCGCUUGGUUCAAACUUCGAAAUGUUAUUUUUUUGAUAGAACAACAGGUCCAAUAAUCUAGGCUAUGAGUAAUGAUAUUAAGUAUCAUUAAAAAUAUAUUAAAUACUUGAAAGGAA